GUAACACGUGAGUAAUCUGCCGAGAAGUGGGGGAUAGCUCGCCGAAAGGCGAAUUAAUACCGCAUGUGGCCAGGGAAGACAUCUUCCCAAAGCCAAAGUCGCAAGACGCUUCUUGAUGAACUCGCGGCCUAUCAGCUUGUUGGUGAGGUAACGGCUCACCAAGGCAAUGACGGGUAGCUGGUCUGAGAGGACGACCAGCCACACUGGAACUGAGACACGGUCCAGACACC
rnacentral:rRNA from 1 species